AAUGGAUACUCUUCUAUCCUAGGAGGCCAUGCACGCAGAGCAUGCGUCAUAACCAAACAUCGCGGCAGUUUUCAAAUGGACAGAAGAACAUGCGUGUGUUUAUCCACUGGGGAGAGGCUUAUGAUGGCUGAAUGCUGUCAUCAAAGGUUUUGAACUCUGCCUCCCUUGCCACCUCAGAGGGAACGCCCCUGCUGCUAUUGCAGAAAUGACUUUUUCUACCACCAGG